GGUUAGACGAGAAAUCUAAAUAGAAUAUUAAAUAAAAUUAAUUAACAAUUAAUAUACAAAAGUAAACUUUUUUCUUUUUUUAGGUGAAAUUUAUAUAAAGAAAUAAAUUUUCUUGAUUAUAUUUGGUGGAAUUAUAAAAUAAAGACUUAAAACCAGGAUUAGAUACCCUGUUAUUCUUUAGAAUAUUAGUAGGGUAGUAAAAGUUGUUCUUCAAACCCAAAGAUUUUGGCGGCAUUCUAACCAAAUAGAGGAGCUUGUCUUAUAAUCGAUAACCCCCGUUAUAUCUUACCUCUACUGAUUUAGUUUGUAUACCUCCGUUGUCAGAUUACUUUAAAAGAAUGUUUUCAAUAAAAAUUAUUUUUUUACUUCAGGUCAAGGUGCAACUUAUGUAGAGGCAAUGGUGAGCUACAAUUCUUUUAAGAAUCACGAAUAUUUAAAUUAAAAUUUAAUUGAAGGUGGAUUUAUUAGUAAAUUAAUUUAAGGAAAAUUAAUUGAAUAAGGCAAUAGCAUGUGCACAUAUCGCCCGUCACUCUCCUCCUAAAAGGAGA
rnacentral:rRNA from 1 species